rnacentral:rRNA from 1 species
AAAGGCAUAAGCCGGCUUAACUGCAAGACUUACAAGUCGCGCAGAUGCGAAAGCAGAACUUAGCGACCCGACGGCUCUUUAUAGAAAGGCCGGAGAUAUCGGACAAAAGUUACCCCGGGGAUAACAGGCUGGUUUCGUCCGAGCGUCCACAGCGACGACGAAGCUCGGCACCUCGAUGUCGGCUCACCCUAGCUCGGGGCUGAAGAAGGUCCCAAGAGUUUGGCUGUUCGCCAAUUAAAAGGGUACGCGAGCUGGGUUCAAACCGUCAGCGGAACCAAUAACAUCGAGUAUCGCAACGGCGGCUCAGGAAAGUAAUUUCCUGAUGAUAAGUUGACUCAUAUCG